UUUCCGUAGGUGAACCUGCGGAAGGAUCAUUAUUGAAACUUCAUCCGGGGCGCCGCGGCCCUCAGCACCGGUGGAAACGCCGUGCUGCGGGGGCCGCGCGUGCACUCGUCCAAACCAAACUCCUGUGAACCUUACGGGAUGGCCCGGGUUAGCGCCCGGUGCCGUUCCGCUUUAUACAAACACUUAUCAAAGAAUGAGCUGAAGGCGGUCUGACCGCUGGAUAACAAACUGAAACAACUUUCAACAACGGAUCUCUUGGCUCUC
rnacentral:misc_RNA from 1 species